GCAGAUGUGCAACCUGCUGAAACUGCUGCAAUCGCAACCACUAAGUAGUAGGAAACGUAAACCUCCCCAAAAAUCAAGGCGGGAGAAACAAAUAAGGCUAUAAGGAUCGUCAAGAACGUUAAGUGGAUUCACCAAAGUUUAUCUUGGUUGGGAAAACAUGCCUCGAAAGUCCAACUAAAGCUGACCAUCAAUCGCGUGCGACUGUACAGCGAUGAGCGAAAGAUGGCGGUGCCAGUGGCCUCUGACCUGGUGCAUCAAGCGAAACUGGUCCAUUUGUCGACAUGACGCGUUGAAGGCGUCCCCAAAUAUGCAAAAUGACGUAAUUUCUCAAUGAGCCCUCGUUUACCGUGUCCGGCGGCGGAGGAAGAUUAGCUUGAUGAGCGGGUGCGUGAAGUGCGACAAGCCGCUCUUGUUGAUGCUGGUGACCCGCAGCCGGUGGUCCAGAAUGUGCAGCUCCAUGUCCAAACGCGAGUCAGCCACAACUACUCAACGCACACCACUGAGGACCAAAAACAUCCGAGAAGCCCGGCCCCGCACAACUCCUUGAUAUUCAAAUGAGCAAAACAGCAAACGCGCCCCUUUCUCCGAUUCUUAAAGCGACAGCGUAGCGUUUUGAGAAAUUGCAGAUUCGUGUAAAAAAAGAAGAAGAAAAAGCUCAAUACCCAAGAAAGGGCCCCCAGAAGCUUCAACUCCCGUUGUAAAG